UGUACCUACGGGACGCAGCAGUGAGGAAUAUUGGUCAAUGGGCGCAAGCCUGAACCAGCCAAGUCGCGUGAGGGAAGACGGCCCUACGGGUUGUAAACCUCUUUUGCCGGGGAGCAAGCCUGAGCACGUGUGCCCAGGCGGAGAGUACCCGGAGAAAAAGCAUCGGCUAACUACGUGCCAGCAGCCGCGGUAAUACGUAGGGGGCAAGCGUUAUCCGGAUUUACUGGGUGUAAAGGGUGCGUAGGUGGCAGGGCAAGUCAGAUGUGAAAGCCCGGGGCUCAACCCCGGUACUGCAUUUGAAACUG
rnacentral:rRNA from 1 species